AACGAACGCUGGCGGCAGGCUUAACACAUGCAAGUCGAGCGCCCCGCCAGGGGUGCGGCGGACGGGUGAGUAACGCGUGGGAACGUACCUUUUGGUUCGGAACAACUUCGGGAAACUGGAGCUAAUACCGGAUAAGCCCUAACGGGGAAAGAUUUAUCGCCGAAAGAUCGGCGCGCGUCUGAUUAGCUCGUUGGUGAGGUAACGGCUCACCAAGGCGACGAUCAGUAGCUGGGCUGAGAGGAUGAUCAGCCACACUGGGACUGAGACACGGCCCAGACUCCUACGGGAGGGAGCAGUGGGGAAUAUUAGACAAGGGGCGCAAGUCUGGUCCAGCCAUGCCGCGUAAGUGAUGAAGGCGUUAGGGUUGUAAAGCUCUUUUGUCCGGGAAGAUAAUGACUGUACCGGAAGAAUAAGCCCCGGCUAACUUCGUG
rnacentral:rRNA from 1 species